rnacentral:misc_RNA from 1 species
UCCUGAGAACCAAUUUCUUGCAGGUAAUGUUCCGCAUCCAAUGCUGCCAUGCAACCCGUUCCAGCAGCAGUGAUAGCUUGUCUGUACUUCUUGUCCUGAACAUCGCCAGCGGCAAAGACUCCCCGGAUACUGGUAUGCGUCGUCCCUGGCUUUGUCAACACAUAGCCAUCAGAAUCGAGUUGGAGUUGUCCAGCUAAGAAUUUGGUGGCUGGUUCGUGACCAAUAGCGAAGAACAAUCCGGAAACCUUCAAAUCAGAAACCUUUCCGGAGACCAGAUCAUGGACCUUCAGACCACCCAGGACUCGCCCGUUAGCGUCGCCGUAAGCUUCCUUAACCACCGAAUUCCAAAUCACCUCGAUUUUAGGGUUGCUGGAGACGCGCUGUUGCAUGAUCUUGGAAGCUCUGAAAGUGUCUCUUCGGUGAAUAAUAUACACUUUGGAGCCAUACUUGGUGAGGAAAUUGGCUUCUUCCAUGGCGGAAUCUCCGCCCCCAAUGACCGCCAAAGGCUUGUUUCUGAAAAUAGGCGCAGCGCCAUCACAGACAGCGCAAGCCGAAAUACCUCGAUUCCAGAACCCAUCCGCUUCACCGGAGCCAGGAAAUGUCAAUCGCUUGGCAACCGCACCAGUGGCGACAAUCACAGAAUCGGCGAGGACGGUUUUUGAAUCAGCAAAUACCUUAAAUGGCUUGGAUGAGAAAUCGACCUUGGUUACGGUCUCGGAGAAGAUCUGAGUGCCAAAGCGAAGCGACUGGUUGCGGCAACGGUCCAUGAGUUCGAUGCCAAGAAUGCCUUCGGGGAAUCCAGGGAAGUUUUCAACGUCGGUUGUGGUAGUGAGCUGGCCACCGGGGGCGAUGUCGUUGGCCAUCCAUCCUUCGAAGAGAAUAGGCUUGAGCUCGGCCCGGGCGGCAUAAAUGGCAG